rnacentral:rRNA from 1 species
AUGCUGCUCUCCUUCGCCCAGCCCCGCCUGCUACCCCGCCUCCCCUCCCCGGCGACCGCCACCGCGACCACUGCCCGGCCUCGCGCCCCGCGCCGCGCGCUCUCCUCGGCCGCCAAAACCGCCGCCGCAGGCCGGCUCCGCGCGGUGGUCUCCGAGCGGGCCGUUGAAGGGAUGGCGCCGGCGGCGGCGGGGCAGGAGGGGCGGCCGCUCCGGGUGGGGCUCGUGUGCGGCGGGCCCUCCGCCGAGCGGGGCAUCUCGCUCAACUCCGCGCGCUCCGUGCUCGAUCACAUCCAGGGCGAGGACUUGUUGGUGAGCUGCUACUACAUCGACUGCGGCAUGAACGCGUUCGCGAUCUCGCCCGCGCAGCUGUAUUCCAACACCCCUUCCGAUUUCGAUUUCAAGCUUGAAAGUCUAGCACAAGAAUUUUCCACCCUAUCUGAAUUUGCGGAACAUCUUGCUGCCAAUGUUGACAUUGUCUUCCCGGUGAUACAUGGAAAAUUUGGUGAAGAUGGUGGUAUUCAGGAGCUUUUGGAGAAAGCAAAUGUUCCAUUUGUUGGGACGCCCUCUAAUGAAUGCCUCCGUGCUUUUGACAAGCAUAAUGCAUCGCUCGAGCUCGACGCUCAAGGUUUCUUAACAGUACCAAACUUUCUUGUAGAGAAGGAUAAAUUGGCCACGUCAGAAUUGGAGGAAUGGUUUAGAAGCAUCAAUUUGAAUAAAGAAAAUGGCAAAGUGAUUGUCAAACCUACGAGAGCUGGAUCAAGUAUCGGCGUAGUUGUCGCUUAUGGUGCUAAUGAGGCAGCUGAGAAAGCCGAGGGAAUAUUUUCAGAGGGAAUUGAUAAUAAGGUUAUCAUAGAAGUUUUUCUUGAAGGGGGCUGUGAGUUUACAGCCAUUGUUCUUGACGUUGGGACAGCUAAUAAUAGUGAGCCUAUCGUUUUGCUUCCAACGGAAGUUGAGCUUCAGUCAUCAAUUUCUAGUGAUAUUCAGGAGGAUACAAUAUUUAACUACCGUAGGAAGUACCUUCCAACUCAACAGGUUGCGUAUCAUACACCUCCACGGUUUCCGGCAGAGGUGAUAGAUUGCAUAAGAAAAGGAGUAUCCCUUUUAUUUCGCCACUUUGGCCUGCGUGACUUCGCUAGGAUAGAUGGUUGGUUCUUGCCAAGUCCUGCUACUUCUCUGCCCUCGUCUGAAAAUGGUGUUAAAUUUGGAAAUACAGAGUAUGGUGCUGUCCUUUUCACUGAUAUUAACUUGAUAAGUGGGAUGGAGCAAACCAGUUUCUUAUUUCAACAAGCUUCAAAGGUUGGAUUCUCUCACUCUCGAAUCCUCCGUACAAUUGUUCAGCAUGCUUGCUCACGAUUUCCUUCCCUUGUUACAAGCAAUAAUGCAUGGACUGCUUUAUCCAGAAAAAUGCAAUCAGCAAAACAAGCAUUGAUAAUCCCGAAUGGUACAUGCAAGCAGAAGGCUUUUGUGAUAUUUGGUGGCGAUACUUCAGAGCGGCAAGUAUCUCUUAUGAGUGGCACAAAUGUCUGGCUUAAUUUGCAAGGCUUCGAUGAUCUUGAUGUGACACCGUGCUUGCUUGCACCUUCGAAUGGAUAUUCUUCCCACAACGAAGAUUUUAGCGAAAGUUCACGCGACGUUUGGACACUGCCAUAUUCAUUAGUGUUACGGCAUACCACUGAAGAAGUUCAUGCUGCAUGUUUUGAAGCAAUUGAACCAGAGCGGGUUGAAAUAACAUCUCGCUUACGUAAUCAAGUAAUGAAAGAACUUGAACGAGCAUUAAGCAAGCAAGAUUGGUUUGCGGGCUUUGACAUCACUGAUGAACAACCUAUCAAAUACUCUCUGCAACAGUGGAUUGAUUAUGUUAAAGAAGCUAAAGCUGUAGUGUUCAUAGCAGUUCAUGGUGGUAUUGGGGAGGAUGGUACCAUUCAAUCGCUGUUGGAAUCUGCAGGAGUUCCUUACACAGGGCCAGGGCCAAUAGCUUCUAGAACAUGCAUGGACAAAGUUGCAACUUCACUUGCCGUUGAUCAUUUGGCUAGUUAUGGCAUUCACACUAUACCAAAGGAUGUAAGAGCAAGAGAAGAGCUACUAAAGUCAUCUCUUGUUGAUAUCUGGAAUGACCUGAAAGCAAAAUUACAAACAGAAACGGUAUGUGUGAAACCUGCUCGUGAUGGAUGCUCAACUGGUGUGGCAAGAUUGCGAUGUCCAGAGGACCUAGAAGUCUAUGCAAAUGCACUGAGGGGAACGCUUCCGCGUCUGCCUGCUAACUGUCUAUCCAAGGCACAUGGAGUUAUUGAGAUGCCAGUCCCUCCUCCGGAGUCACUGAUAUUCGAACCAUUUAUCGAAACCGACGAAAUUAUUAUCUCAAAUAAAUCGUGGAAUGAUAGUACCCGCCAUCUGGUAUGGAAGGGUGAAAAUGAGUGGCUUGAAGUGACCGUUGGUGUUGUUGGGAAGCGUGGGGAGAUGCAUUCACUAAAUCCAAGUAUCACAGUCAAGGAAAGUGGUGAUAUUUUGUCUCUUGAAGAGAAAUUUCAAGGGGGAACUGGAAUCAACUUGACACCACCUCCAGCAACAAUCAUGAGUGAGGAUGCGCUACAGAAAUGCAAAAGUUGUAUCGAGAUGACGGCGAACACAUUAGGUCUGGAGGGCUUUUCACGCAUCGACGCAUUUGUUAAUGUGCACAGCGGAGAGGUGCUGUUGAUAGAAGUAAAUACCGUACCUGGGAUGACUCCCUCCACUGUCCUGAUUCACCAGGCACUCACGGAAGAACCACCCAUCUACCCUCACAAGUUCUUCAGAACGCUCCUCGAUCUGGCGUUUGCAAGAGCAGGCUAG